GUGGAAAUAAUGAUUAUUUCCCCAGAUGAUUACCGAGCUAUUUUAUUCUCAUUUAAGAGAAUUCAAGCCAAAAUUCUGAUCCAU
rfam:Beta vulgaris subsp. vulgaris Bvchr5.sca022.con0085.1, whole genome shotgun sequence.